rnacentral:rRNA from 1 species
UACGUAGGGGUGCGAGCUUUAAUCGGAAUUACUGGGCGUAAAGCGUGCGCAGGCGGUUUUGUAAGUCAGAUGUGAAAGCCCCGGGCUCAACCUGGGAACUGCGUUUGAAACUACAAGGCUAGAGUAUGGCAGAGGGGGGUAGAAUUCCACGUGUAGCAGUGAAAUGCGUAGAGAUGUGGAGGAAUACCAAUGGCGAAGGCAGCCCCCUGGGUCAAUACUGACGCUCAUGCACGAAAGCGUGGGGAGCAAACAGG